rnacentral:rRNA from 1 species
CCUUGUAGUGAACUGCGGAGGGAUCAUUA